AUGCUUUAAGAAUAAAUAAUUUUUAAUAUUUAAAUAAUUAACUAAUAUUUUUUUUUUAAAAUAAUCAAAUAAAAAUAUUUUUUAUUAAUUAAUUUAAAUAUUAAAAAAUUACUUUCAAUUCAAAAAAUGUAAAUAUCUUUAAAAAUUAUAUUUCAAAAACCAUUUUUCGCCCGAAACAAUCGAAACUUAGAUAUUAAUGUAUUGUAGAGGUUAUUAUGGCAUUGACGCACAAAUUCCAGUCACCGUUUUGAAUUUAAGCCCAUAUUGCUCUGUUUCUGUCCAGACGUACUACAUCUAUCAACAAAAUAUAUGAUCUAUUACAAGCUUCCACAGAUCUUGAAAUCUCGAGCAGUUGUUGCUAUUCUCUGAAAAUCACAACGUUAUCAAAUACCUAUUAUUUAUCUUGCAAUUGAGACAUUUCCGUGCAUGAAUUCCAAGUCCUCGAAUAAAUCAAUCAUUUAGCAAAAUACUGGUAAAUUAUAAAAAGUUUAAGCAAGAAGAAGAAGAAAAAUUAAAACCAAACCUGAAGGAAGCUACCCAAGACAGGACAAGGU
rnacentral:lncRNA from 1 species